rnacentral:tRNA from 1 species
GUAGCUCCAUGGUAGAGCAUCUGCUUGGCAUGCAGAAGGUCCCAGGUUCAGUCCCCAUCAUCUCCA